rnacentral:rRNA from 1 species
GACGAACGCUGGCGGCGUGCUUAACACAUGCAAGUCGAACGGAAAGGCCCUGCUUUUGUGGGGUGCUCGAGUGGCGAACGGGUGAGUAACACGUGAGUAACCUGCCCUUGACUUUGGGAUAACUUCAGGAAACUGGGGCUAAUACCGGAUAGGAGCUCCUGCUGCAUGGUGGGGGUUGGAAAGUUUCGGCGGUUGGGGAUGGACUCGCGGCUUAUCAGCUUGUUGGUGGGGUAGUGGCUUACCAAGGCUUUGACGGGUAGCCGGCCUGAGAGGGUGACCGGCCACAUUGGGACUGAGAUACGGCCCAGACUCCUACGGGAGGCAGCAGUGGGGAAUAUUGCACAAUGGGCGGAAGCCUGAUGCAGCAACGCCGCGUGCGGGAUGACGGCCUUCGGGUUGUAAACCGCUUUCGCCUGUGACGAAGCGUGAGUGACGGUAAUGGGUAAAGAAGCACCGGCUAACUACGUGCCAGCAGCCGCGGUGAUACGUAGGGUGCGAGCGUUGUCCGGAUUUAUUGGGCGUAAAGGGCUCGUAGGUGAUUGAUCGCGUCGGAAGUGUAAUCUUGGGGCUUAACCCUGAGCGUGCUUUCGAUACGGGUUGACUUGAGGAAGGUAGGGGAGAAUGGAAUUCCUGGUGGAGCGGUGGAAUGCGCAGAUAUCAGGAGGAACACCAGUGGCGAAGGCGGUUCUCUGGGCCUUUCCUGACGCUGAGGAGCGAAAGCGUGGGGAGCGAACAGGCUUAGAUACCCUGGUAGCCCACGCUGUAAACGGUGGGUACUAGGUGUGGGGUCCAUUCCACGGGUUCCGUGCCGUAGCUAACGCUUUAAGUACCCCGCCUGGGGAGUACGGCCGCAAGGCUAAAACUCAAAGGAAUUGACGGGGCCCCGCACAAGCGGCGGAGCAUGCGGAUUAAUUCGAUGCAACGCGUAGAACCUUACCUGGGUUUGACAUGGAUCGGGAGCGCUCAGAGAUGGGUGUGCCUCUUUUGGGGUCGGUUCACAGGUGGUGCAUGGCUGUCGUCAGCUCGUGUCGUGAGAUGUUGGGUUAAGUCUCGCAACGAGCGCAACCCUUGUUCACUGUUGCCAGCACGUUAUGGUGGGGACUCAGUGGAGACCGCCGGGGUCAACUCGGAGGAAGGUGGGGAUGACGUCAAGUCAUCAUGCCCCUUAUGUCCAGGGCUUCACGCAUGCUACAAUGGCUGGUACAGAGAGUGGCGAGCCUGUGAGGGUGAGCGAAUCUCGGAAAGCCGGUCUCAGUUCGGAUUGGGGUCUGCAACUCGACCUCAUGAAGUCGGAGUCGCUAGUAAUCGCAGAUCAGCAACGCUGCGGUGAAUACGUUCCCGGGGCU